rnacentral:rRNA from 1 species
GAUGAACGCUGGCGGCGUGCCUAAUACAUGCAAGUCGAGCGAACAGAUAAGGAGCUUGCUCCUUUGACGUUAGCGGCGGACGGGUGAGUAACACGUGGGUAACCUACCUAUAAGACUGGGAUAACUUCGGGAAACCGGAGCUAAUACCGGAUAACAUUUGGAACCGCAUGGUUCUAAAGUGACAGAUGGUUUUGCUAUCACUUAUAGAUGGACCCGCGCCGUAUUAGCUAGUUGGUAAGGUAACGGCUUACCAAGGCAACGAUACGUAGCCGACCUGAGAGGGUGAUCGGCCACACUGGAACUGAGACACGGUCCAGACUCCUACGGGAGGCAGGAGUAGGCAAUCUGGCGGAUUGGGCGAAAGCCUGACGGAGCAACGCCGCGUGGGUGAUGAAGGGUUUCUGCUCGUAAAGCUCUGUUAUUAGGGAAGAACAAACGUGUAAGUAACUGUGCACGUCUGGACGGUACCUAAUCAGAAAGCAACGGCUAACUACGA